GACAUAGGUGGCGAACGUUAUCCGGAAUUAUUGGGCGUAAAGAGUGCGUAGGUGGUUUGAUAAGUUAACGGUGGGAAAUCAGGGCUCAACCCUGUGGAAGUCGGUAAUACUGUUAAACUAGAAGGCUGGAGAAGUUAACGGAAUUCUAUGUGUAGCGGUAAAAUGCUCAAAUAUAUAGAGGAACACCAGUGGCGAAGGCGGCUCACUGGCCCGAUACUGACGCUGAGACGCGAAGGCGUGGGGAGCGAACGGG
rnacentral:rRNA from 1 species